AUGAGACAAGUGAUAAGGAAGAAAAAUUGGCCAGGAAAUCCUUGUUGUUCCUUCUGCAAGGAGGUAGAAACUUCUAAACAUUUAUUCUUUACAUACCCAGUUGCCAGGGUGGUCUGGAGAUCUAUUGGGGUGGUUUUGGGCACUGACAAGUGCCCCAACAACUACUGGCAGUACUUUGUUUGGUGCAAUAAGUUUCUUCCUAGGAAAGAAACAUUCUAUACAGUGGGAUUAGCUGCUACCUGUUGGGCCAUUUGGCUGACACGUAAUCGGGCCACCUUUGAAAAGAAGCAGAUAAAGACUCCUUUUGAGAUUGUUUUCUCUCUUUGUUCGUUUCUUUUAUAUUGGACAGGAUUGCGAAAAGGAGAAGCGGUUGGGGAGCUACGCGCGGGCGCGGAGAUGAUCAGGACCAGCACGAUGCAACUCAUGAGGCUGUGCGACGCUGGCAAGCAACCGAUCCAAAGCUCGUGA
rnacentral:rRNA from 1 species